GCCAGGCACGGUGGCAAGUGCCUGUAGUCCCAGCUACCUGGGAGGCUGAAGACAGGAGGAUCGCUUGAGUCCAGGAGUCCUGUGCUGUAGUGUGCUAUGCCAAUCGGUGUCUGAACUAAGUUUGGCAUCAAUAUGGUGACCUCCUGGGACCUGGGGGGCACCAGGUUGCCUAAGGAGGGGUGAAUCGGCCCAGGUCAGAAAUGGAGCAGGUCAAAGCUCCCAUCCUGAUCAGUAGUGGGAUCGUGCCUGUGAAUAGCCACUGUACUGCAGUACAGCCUGGGCAACACAGUGAGAUACCGUCUCUU
rfam:Otolemur garnettii contig092681, whole genome shotgun sequence.